rnacentral:rRNA from 1 species
AUUGAACGCUGGCGGCAGGCCUAACACAUGCAAGUCGAGCGGAUGACGGGAGCUUGCUCCUGGAUUCAGCGGCGGACGGGUGAGUAAUGCCUAGGAAUCUGCCUGGUAGUGGGGGACAACGUUUCGAAAGGAACGCUAAUACCGCAUACGUCCUACGGGAGAAAGCAGGGGACCUUCGGGCCUUGCGCUAUCAGAUGAGCCUAGGUCGGAUUAGCUAGUUGGUGAGGUAAUGGCUCACCAAGGGGACGAUCCGUAACUGGUCUGAGAGGAUGAUCAGUCACACUGGAACGGAGACACGGUCCAGACUCCUACGGGAGGCAGCAGUGGGGAAUAUUGGACAAUGGGCGAAAGCCUGAUCCAGCCAUGCCGCGUGUGUGAAGAAGGUCUUCGGAUUGUAAAGCACUUUAAGUUGGGAGGAAGGGUUGUAGAUUAAUACUCUGCAAUUUUGACGUUACCGACAGAAUAAGCACCGGCUAACUCUGUGCCAGCAGCCGCCGUAACAC